GUUCCAUGGUUAAUCCACAUCAGCUUUGGCGGUUUCACUUCUCAAAAUUCUCACGCUCUCCUCUUUCUCUUCCAAAACGGUUUCUCCUCUUCUUUCAAAACCGGCACAUUCUCUUCAUUCACCAUUCUCUUCAAUGCACGGUUACAUUACAUUGACUGUUUGUCUUCUCAUUUUCAAAAUGAUUCAAUCUAUCUUCAAUUACCAUUCUCUUCAUCUCCAUUCAACUUUCGCAACCGCCCACAUCCACCUCUGCCUACUCUGCUCUAGAUCGAAACCUGUGUCGCCUGCAACUGCUGAUUUUGCCGUCGUAUCCCCAACACCGACGACUACACCACCGCCGCGCAUCUACGAUUGAAACAUGGGCUUAAUUAGAGGCUAAAAUCAGAAACAAAUGGAGGAUAGCAACAGACCGAAUUCCCAUCACAAGGGUCUCCGACCAAAAUCACCUAAGGGUCUUCGAACCGGUUAAAUCGGCACUGCUGAUAAAAAGAUAAGUGUAUUUACUUACAACUGGUACCAUUACAUCAAUUCUAUUAUGUAAUUGUUAAAAUUGUUCUUUCAUAAACUUAAUGAAUCUCUGUCUUGAUGUAAAUUCAGUGGUAAAUCAAAGAAUGUUAAUCUGAUUGCCCCACUCCGAAGCCAACGUUCAAUUCAUCCAAUAGAAGAAUCAACAUAAUUCAGCAGUGAAGUCACCAUUGAUGUUGCAAUUGAAUACAAAUUUUGAUUUGGCAAUGUUUAAUGGAGAAAUCCUAUGUCAGCGGAAACUGACGCUGGUGUUUCAGAGGAUGAUUCUUCUUUUGAUGACUUUUUUUAAUGUUGGCAAAUAGUUUAUGUUACUUCAGAUUGAUGGAGACCAUGCAAGUUUUGGAUGACGAAAUUUGUUAUCGUGCUCAAGAUUAUCUGACAAUUCACAAGUUAUUUGCAACCCGUGCUGAUUUGCAUCGAACAGUCUAUACACAUGCAAAAGUAAAGGCUAUAGAGUUGAUGGUCAUUGAUGCAUUGGUGAAAGCAAGUCCAUAUCUUCCUAUUGCAUCCUCUAUUGAUCAAGCUUUUGGAAGGUCUUGAAUGUAUUACAAGCUUUUGAUGCAUUGAUGCAUUGAUGCAUUGAUGCAUUGAUGCAUUGGUGAAACCAUCUGACUUUUGGAAGCAUGUUCUGUUCUGUCCUUUCUUGCUUAUUGUCAAGAUUAACUAGAAAUGGAGUUUAUGGGGAAAAACCGAGGUAUAUUCUGACACAUCCAAGAAAUUGAAAGGCUUGCCGUGGAGUAUAAUACAAGAUAAUUCAGAUUUGGAGUUAAGGCCAUUGUGGUCGAGAAGUAAUUAAAGGUCGAAGGUCAAGAAUUUUGCAUUGUUCUUCGAUAUUUUAGCUCUAUUGAUUUUCCACCGGGCUACCAAAUCUAAUGAUUGUUUGGUGGUGAUUAUGAAAUUGCGGGUUGCAAAGAUGUGGAAAGAGUUGUAGAUUGAGAUGGAUUAACAUGUAUAUAUUAAUAACUAGCAUCCUUCAUGAGAACUGAAGCAGUAGGCUACCUCUAAAGGAAUGAUGUGCUGAAUUGAAUAGAUGUGAAUAAUUCGAAGUUAAGCUUAGCGGCAGAGAUCUAGAAAUUGAUGAUACUGACUGGCGCCGAAUUGCCUACGACAAGAAGUUAUGUUAAUAUACUACAAUUACAAAUAUUAACAUAUUAAAAUAUAAUCAAUAGUAUUAAGUUUUUUAAUUUAAUAGUAUUAUUUAUAUUUAUAUAUGUUUGUAUCUACAUAAUCAUGUAUGUUGUUAGUUAAUAAUGGCAUUUAUGUUGAUAUUUACACAUUCAUGUACGAUUAUAUACAAUAAUGUGUGUAUAUUGCAUAUUAUUAAUAAAAUUAAAUUUUGAAACUAUAGUAAGAUCAUAGUAUUAUGA